rnacentral:rRNA from 1 species
CCUACGGGAGGCAGCAGUGAGGAAUAUUGGUCAAUGGUCGGGAGACUGAACCAGCCAAGCCGCGUGAGGGAUGAAGGUACAGAGUAUCGUAAACCUCUUUUGUCAGGGAACAAAGGCGGGGACGUGUCCCCGGAUGAGCGUACCUGAAGAAAAAGCAUCGGCUAACUCCGUGCCAGCAGCCGCGGUAAUACGGGGGAUGCGAGCGUUGUCCGGUUUUAUUGGGUUAAAGGGGUGCGCAGGCGGUCUGUUAAGUCAGCGGUAAAAGCCCGGGGCUCAACCCCGGCCCGCCGUUGAAACUGGCAGUCUCGAGUUGGAGAGAGGUAUGCGGAAUGCGCGGUGUAGCGGUGAAAUGCGUAGAUAUCGCGCAGAACUCCGAUUGCGAAGGCAGCAUGCCGGCUCCACACUGACGCUGAGGCACGAAAGCGUGGGUAUCGAACAGGAUUAGAUACCCGUGUAGUC